GUGUCAGCAGCCGCGGUAAUACGGAGGGUGCGAGCGUUGUUCGGAAUUAUUGGGCGUAAAGCGCGUGUAGGCGGUCUGUUUAGUCUGGUGUGAAAGCCCUGGGCUCAACCCGGGAAGUGCAUUGGAUACUGGCAGACUUGAGUACGGGAGAGGAUAGUGGAAUUCCGAGUGUAGGGGUGAAAUCCGUAGAUAUUCGGAGGAACACCGGUGGCGAAGGCGGCUAUCUGGACCGAUACUGACGCUGAGACGCGAAAGCGUGGGGAGCAAACAGGAUUAGAAACCCGCGUAGUCC
rnacentral:rRNA from 1 species